rnacentral:rRNA from 1 species
GACGAACGCUGGCGGCGUGCUUAACACAUGCAAGUCGAACGGUGAAAGCAGAGCUUGCUCUUCUGGAUCAGUGGCGAAAGGGUGAGUAACACGUGAGUAACCUGCCCCAGUCUCUGGUAUACGCGCUGGAAACGGCGUCUAAUACCGGAUACGAGAACGAGCUGCAUGGGUACUGUAUGGAAAGUUUUUCGGUCUGGGAUUGACUCGCGGCCUAUCAGCUUGUUGGUGAGGUAACGGCUCACCAAGGCAACGACGGGUAGCCGGCCUGAGAGGGCGACCGGCCACACGGGGACUGGGAAACGGCCAAGACUCCUACGGGAGGCAGCGGUGGGGAAUAUUGCACAAGGGGCGAAGGCCUGAUGCAGGGACGCCGGGUGGGGAGUGACGGCCUGCGGGUUGUAAACCUCUUUCAGCAGGAAAGAAGCUAAAGUGACGGUACCUGCAGAAGAAGCACCGGCUAACUACGUG